GUUUCUUUUUGGACGGUGAUUUCAGAGGAAUGACUCCAAAAUGGAUUAUUCUUUGCAUCGUCAGCUUGACUUUUCUGGGAAAACCAUCCAAUGGGGAUGAAUAUUUUUGGCGAAUAUAUCCUGGCUGCAUCGGCUUUCCCGGUUGUAUUCAGUGCAGAGUCCCUAAGGAUUUCCCAAAAUGUUCCUACGGCUGGAUAAAUUAUAAUGAAUACAUGUGCACAUGUCUUCACAACGAAUUUCUGUACACAGUUAGAUGCAAACAAGGAAUAAUCUACAUACAAUCGCCUGAUGGAAAAACAAAAUGCGAAAAAACUGAUAAUCCCUUACUUCAUCAUUUUGGGUCGUCAGUAUUGCCAAAUAAUUUUUCAAAAUUAGACAGAAAUGAAAGCACAACUCUCUCAUAUGGUUCCUUGCUAAGCACACAACAAACAAACGGUGACCUGGAGGAUAAAUUGGAUGAAGAGACAUCAAAAUUGAUUAUAAUUGCUACAGUACCAACGAGCAUUGUGUUGGGACUUAUUAUAGUUUCUACUUUAAUAAUUAUUUAUAAAAGAAGGGCCAAUACCCAAGUUGUAAUUAUUGACGACAUCAAAAUUGAAACGUAGUAAACAAAAUAAGCAAAAAUGUAAGCGUUCAUUCAUCUAAUACAUAAUUAUGUUAUAAAAUUAUUUAAUGCUAUAUUAUUGUGUGGUUUAAUGAGAAUCAAUUCCUUAUCGCCUUGUUGAAUAAAAAUUACUCAUCAUUUAAUUGAAA